rnacentral:tRNA from 1 species
UGGCUCAGUUGGUAGAGCGUGGUGCUUAGAACGCCAGGGUUGUGGGUCCAAUUCCCAC